CCUACGGGAGGCAGCAGUGAGGAAUAUUGGUCAAUGGACGAAAGUCUGAACCAGCCAAGCAGCGUGAAGGAAGACGGCCCUAUGAGUUGUAAACUGCUUUUGUACGAGGGUAAACGCAGAUACGCGUAUCUGUCUGAAAGUAUCGUACGAAUAAGGAUCGGCUAACUCCGUGCCAGCAGCCGCGGUAAUACGGAGGAUUCAAGCGUUAUCCGGAUUUAUUGGGUUUAAAGGGUGCGUAGGUGGACGGAUAAGUUAGAGGUGAAAUCUCGAGGCUCAACUUCGGAAUUGCCUCUGAUACUGUUCGGCUAGAGUGUAGUAGCGGUAGGCGGAAUGUAUGGUGUAGCGGUGAAAUGCUUAGAGAUCAUGCAGAACUCCGAUUGCGAAGGCAGCAUACCGGCGCCCAACUGACGCUGAGGCACGAAAGCGUGGGUAUCGAACAGGAUUAGAUACCCGUGUAGUC
rnacentral:rRNA from 1 species